GGUUUGAUUCUGGCUCAGAUUGAACGCUGGCGGGAUGCUUUGCACAUGCAAGUCGAACGGCACGGACUUCGGUCUGGUGGCGAGUGGCGAACGGGUGAGUAACGUAAUGGAACGUGCCUAGUAGCGGGGAUAACUACGCGAAAGCGUAGCUAAUACCGCAUACGACCCUUCGGGGGAAAGCGGGGGACCUUCGGGCCUCGCACUAUUAGGAGCGGGCUGAUAUCGGAUUAGCUAGUUGGUGGGGUAACGGCUCACCAAGGCGACGAUCCGUAGCUGGUUUGAGGUGAGGACGACCAGCCACACUGGGACUGAGACACGGCCCAGACUCCUACGGAGAGGCAGCAGUGGGGAAUUUUUGGACAAUGGGGGAAACCCUGAUCCAGCCAUCCCGCGUGCGAUGAAGGCCUUCGGGUUGUAAAGCACUUUUGGCAGGAAGAAACGGCACGGGAUAAUACCCCGUGCAACUGACGGUACCUGCAGAAUAAGCACCGGCUAACCACGUGCUGCGCAGCCGCGGUAAUACGUAGGGUGCAAGCGUUAAUCGGAAUUAUCGGCAUGCAAGCGUGCGCAGGCGGUUCGAAAGAAAGAUGGGGAAACUUGUAUUUAACUGAACUGCAUUUUUAACUACCGAGCUAGAGUGUGUCAGGAGGGAGGUGGAAUUCCGCGUGUAGCAGUGAAAUGCGUAGAUAUGCGGAGGAACACCGAUGGCGAAGGCAGCCUCCCCGGGAUAACACUGACGCCUAUGCACGAAAGCGUGGGGAGCAAACAGGAUUAGAUACCCCAGUCCACGCCCUGGCAACGAUGUGCUCACCGAAGGUUAGCCUUCGGGCUCCGGUAGCGCGAAAUAAUGCGGUGAAGUUGACCGCCUGGGGAUGGUCGCAAGAUUGAAAACUCAAAGGAAUUCGACGGGGACCCGCACAAGCGGUGGAUGAUGUGUGGAUUAAUUCGAGGCGCAACGCGAACCCUGACCUACCCUUGACAUGUCUGGAAUCCCGAAGAGAUUUGGGAGUGCUCGUAAGAGAACCGAACACAGGUGCUGCAUGGCUGUCGUCAGCUCGUGUCGUGAGAUGUUGGAAGGCGUCCCGUAACGAGCGCAACCCUUGUCAUUAGUUGCUACGAAAGGGCACUUUAACGAGACUGCCGGUGACAAACCGGAGGAAGGUGGGGAUGACGUCAAGUCCGCGGCCCUUUAUGGGUAGUACGCACACGUCAUACAAUGGUCGGGACAGUGGUCGCCAACCCGCUGAGGAGCCAUAAUCCCAGAAACCCGAUCGUAGUCCGGACCGCAGUCUGCAACUCGACUGCGUGAAGUCGGAAUCGCUGGUAAUCGCGGACCAGCAUGCCGCGGUGAAUACGUUCCCGGGUCUUGUACACACCGCCCGUCACACCAUGGGAGUGGGUUUUACCAGAAGUAGUUAGCCUAACCGUAAGGAGGGCGAUUACCACACUUGCAGAUUCAUGACUGCGAAGUCGUACAAUGGUAA
rnacentral:rRNA from 1 species